AGUGCAGGCCAGGGCUCCUCUGGGGUUGAGAGUGACUGACCAGUCGGCCGCCCCAGAGCCAACCACCCCCACCCCCACCCCAACCCCCCACACACGGCAGCGAUUCCAUUCCCCACCCCACCAGCAAAAGCGUUGCUUGGUGUCCGCCGAAACAAAAGUCGCCGUCGCCUCGCCUCGCCUUCGCCGUCAUCUCCUACGCCCCGCCCGUUUGACUCCCUCCAUCUCCUUCCGUUCCCCUCUCCCUUCCCUUUCCUUUCCUUUCCUUCCCUUCGUCUCCUAGGUUUAGCGCCCCACGCGAACCCCACCGUACCAACCCACCAGCGGGCGUCCCUCCCGCAGCGGUUGCUCUGUCGGCUUCCUGCUGCCCCCGCUCCCUUCAUGGUGGCCGCCCAAUCGUGAGGCUGCGCUCAACGAUCAGAAGAUGAGGCGCUAUGCCGCUGUGCUGAGGGUCGCUGUGGUGGGCCUGUUGGUGCUCGGCCUCGCCCUCCCUCCGCUGGCCGCGGCGCUGCGGCCUCUCAGGGAGCGCGUCGCGUCCGCCGGAGCCGCGGCCUCCUCCGGAUCGUGGGCCGAUGAGCAUGCAUUCUACAAGAGGGAUGAUAAUGACAUGAGCCCAUAUUCAUGGAAUAUUACAGGAACAUAUAAAGGAAGUUGGAGCUUUGCUGGUGCUACAAAUGGUUCUUCUAGGUUUCUUGAGUUCAUGACAUCUAAAGGCGACUCGGUUUUGGAAUUACUGAGUACACCAACAAAGAUAAGCGGGGUACACUAUGUUCAGGGAACAAUAACAUUCCAUGAUGUUAUUGACAAAUCACAUGAUCGUGGGGCUGCUCAAAUAAGGUUAGAAGGCGUGUAUAUAUGGCCUUUUAGACAACUUCGUAUGGUGGCAAACAGCGGUGCAGAUGGUGAACCGCUUCAAGAAGAGGAUUACUUCUUGUCAAAUCCAUACCAUCUGCUGCGGAUUUUCUCCUCUCAAGUUUUCCAAGAUUCUUCUGAAGAGAAGAACCGAAGGAAGAACUCUCUCACACAUGACAUGGAGAAACACUGUAACAUAGAAAUAGCCGCUAAAGUGGUCCGGGUGUCAACUAACCAAAAUGGUACUGAAUUUUCUUAUGAAGGAGAGCAUGAGAAGUACCGAUUGGAGGGUUUGAUGGAAAGUCCAUCAGUGGAUGAUGAUGGAGAAUGCUUCUCAUCUAUCUUGCUAAAUUCAACAUCGCUGAAUGUUGAAGCUUAUUACAACAAAGCAGUUAACUAUACACUGAUGGUCACUUUUAUCUCUUUUCUCCAAGUUUUGCUGCUUAUUAGACAAAUGGAACACAGCAACACCCAGUCAGGAGCUGCUAAGGUGUCUAUUAUUAUGAUUGGGCAACAAGCUAUCAUGGAUGCAUAUCUUUGUCUACUGCAUCUGACUGCUGGAAUAUUGGUUGAGUCACUCUUUAAUGCCUUUGCAACAGCUGCCUUCUUCAAAUUCGUUGUUUUUUCUAUUUUUGAGAUGAGGUAUCUUCUUGCUAUAUGGAAAGCAAGUAGGCCAUUGAACAGUGGAGAAGGUUGGGAAAUAAUGAGGCGUGAACUUUCUGUUCUUUACAGCCGCUUUUACGGCAUUCUUUUGGGAGGAAUCCUUCUCAUGUAUGAGUUGCACAAUUUCUUGCGCCCGCUUCUUUUCCUGAUGUACUCCUUUUGGAUUCCUCAAAUUGUCACGAAUGUCAUCCGGGAUACAAGAAAACCGCUGCACCCUCAGUAUAUUUUAGGCAUGACUGCUACCCGGGUCGCCAUCCCGCUAUAUAUAUUUGGUUGUCCUAGCAACUUCAUGCGCAUUGAGCCCGACAAGAAAUGGUGCAUAGCUGUGACGGCAUUCAUGGGUAUCCAAGCAGCUGUGCUGCUGCUCCAGCACUAUCUUGGUUCUCGCUGCUUUAUUCCCCGCCAGAUCCUCCCUGAGAAAUACUGCUACCACAGGAAGGUAGAGGAUAGCACAAAUCAGCCCAUUGAUUGUGUAAUCUGCAUGACUACAAUUGAUCUCUCCCAAAGAACAAGUGAAUACAUGGUGGCACCGUGCGAGCAUAUAUUCCACUCGGGCUGUUUACAACGUUGGAUGGACAUCAAGAUGGAGUGCCCAACUUGCAGGCGCUCUCUACCACCAGCUUAGAGGAACAAUACUUUGUACAAUAUAUAGUUGACAAAAAGUAGGUAGCCCAGCCAAAGUGCCUAUAUCUCAGCUCGAGCUCAGAUGCGACCUUAAUCCUCCCCAUGUAUACUGGCCGGUAUAAAUAUUGUAUUUGAAACCACUUUUCUGACCCAUGGAGACCCUUCUCCCCGGCAUUCCCUAUUUAGGGCUGCAGGCGCACAGCCACUCCAGCAAGAUGGGCCGGCCCGUUUACAUUUUUCCUUGUCUGUUUUUUAUACCGUGCAAAAAAGCGUACAAGGCUGGGAUUCGAUCAU
rnacentral:rRNA from 1 species